UAAAGUUGCAUGGUCGCGGCAAGGGCCAUCGAACCACCGCGAGUGGAGCCUCACACAUGCACGGGUCAGUGGACUGGUAGCGGGAGAACAGAGAGCGGACGUCGGUGAGAUCACUGCGGCGACGUCAUCUGAGCUGGGAUCCGGACAUCGAAAGGGCGGGAGAAUCCGUGCCCCUGAUUGGACGGGAGGCCAAGGGUCGGAAAGAGCAAAAAUUCCUUUGUUGUAGGUAGGAUAAAAAGGAGGGGGAUUGGGGUAGCAAGGGGGGUUCUUCUUCUGGUUCAAGAUCAUCGCGGUCCCGGGAGCAGGAGAGUCAGCCAUCCGAGACGUCCGUGAGACGUACUCCAGCAUCGACAGGCUCGUCGCCUCAUUCCCUCACAACGAUGUCUUGGCUGUCGUCGUGGGGAUGCCUGCUGGUGAGGGUGGUCGUGGAGGCGGCGGCAGUGAUGGCCGUGGCGGCAUCGUCUGUGGUGGCGGCAAGACUCAGCGUCUCCAUCUCCUGGUGGAGCAUCUCCUUCUGCUGUAACAGCGCCACGAUCUCCUGAUACAGCGUCACGUUCUCCUCGUGCAUCGUCUGGCUUUCUUGACGCAGCGUCUCGUGAUACUCGAUCGCUCGCUGUUGCAGAAUAUUCUCCCGACGCAACGCCUCCAUCUCCCGAAGCGCCGCCUCCGUCCGCUCGCGCAGCACCUUGUUCUUCUGAAACAUCAUCGCGACUUGCUCCUCCUGCACCUCAUUCGCCUGACGCAGCAGCUCGUAGUGUUGUUUGUGCGUUGACAUAGCUGAAAAUAUACAAGGAUAAGAACGAAUAGUUUGGAAAGCGCCUGGCACAGGAAAUAUACCGAAGCACUGACGAGGACACGACAUGACGCCUAUGAUUGUAAUCGCCAUCAGUAUGAGCCAACUCGCAAGCAACGCGAGAGUCCAUGACAUUACGACCAUGUCGGGUUUCGGGCAUGGUGGCAUUGGUAUGGGGUAGUCCACGUCGCCUUCCUCCUUGCCCGCGAAGAGGGGGAAGACGUUCCCAACAGACACGGGGCCCAACUGCAGCAGCAGCAGUAGCAGGAGCAUCUUGCCGCUGGUGUCGCCAAAGUCCAAGUGUGAUCACGUGCUCAGACAGCCCCUUUAGUAACGUCAUCAUUUCCGGCCGUGACGCGCGGUUAUAGAUUUCCUGUUGUGACACGUGGUUUAGAAACGCGACUGUGACGUCACUAGCGUCGAUAUGUGUUAUUUAUUUAUUUAACGGAGUCAUUCCUUUCCUCUACUCACUUGAGUUCAACACGGUGACCUCUGCAUUACUAAUUUUACGUGGUAAUAUUUUUUAUAAAAUGGGCAUUUUAUUUAACAUUGGAUUCAAAAUAAACUAAUUUAUUCCUUGCAAUGUCACAGA